AUGAAAAGGAGAACGGUCUCCCCCCGAAAAGCUGAAGCCGAGGGGGGUAACCCUGGGGGUCCCGGCCCCAUUGCCCCCCUUAUUAUCCCCCCUUAUCCCCCCCUUUAUUCCCCCCUUUAUUCCCCCCGGUGCCGCUCACCCUCCGCCUCGCCAUGUGACUGUCCGUCUGCACCCGCCGCCCCGCCCCCUUUCUCCUAUUGGCCAGCACCGCCACGCCCCCUCCUCCUAUUGGCUAACACAGCGUUCGCCCCGCCCCCUUUCUGUAGUGCCGCCACGCGUGUGCGUGGGUUCAAUGGGGCUGAGCGUGAAUCCACGCGUGUGCACGGGGUGUAUGGGGCUGUCUAUGGGGCUGUCUAUGGGGCUGUCUAUGGGGCUGUUUGGGGCUGUAUAUGGGGCUGUCUAUGGGGCUGUCUAUGGGGCGGUAUAUGGGGGUUUAUAUGGGGUGUAUAUGGGGGUUAUAUGGGGCUGUAUAUGGGGCGGUAUAUGGGGCUGUAUAUGGGGGUGUAUGGGGCUGUCUAUGGGGCUGUUUGCGACACGUUCCCCUCCUCGCCCUCAAUUCCCGGCACCGCAACCUGCGGCGCUGACGCCAUUUCCUCCCAUUCUACGAAACGAGCAGGAAACCGACCCGCGGCUCGGGGCUUUUUUGGGCUGAAAACUGCUCGAUUUGGGACCGAACGGCUGCGAGAAAGCAGCGGAAGGGAACGCUCAGCUUUGACUCAGAGUGAAAACCAUCCCCGUCCCGCUGUGAUGCUCGGCCAAAACUCCUGCCCUGAAGCUCUCAGCCCGCAACGUGCCUCAGUUUUCCCUCGUGUGAUGCCACCACCCCCCACCCCUUCAAAGCACCCACGGCACAAAACAAGGCGAUGGGGGCAUUGGAAACAGCAGAAUUGAUGCAGGACAUCAGUGAGGAGCUGCAGCUCUUGGCUCAAUGCAACCACCACCAGCAUCACCUGGUGGGUGUUGGGGUCUGGGGGGGCUUUGGUGCUGCAGGAAGGAGUGCAGGUGUAACAAAGUGAAUACGAAGCAUUUAAUUUAAUUUAAUUAAUUUAAUUAAAUGUAAUUGAACAGAAAGUAACAUAGUUUAACAUAACAGAAUUAAACGUAAAAUAACAUAGUUUAAAACAAAAUUUAACGUAAUAUAAACCAAAAUAAAAUAUCAUAAAAUAACA
rnacentral:lncRNA from 1 species